AUUUUGGUUUAUAUCAUUAUUUAAAAUAAUAUUAUAUAAGUAAAAGAAUUGAACUUUAUCCACAAAAAAAGUACUGAGAAGGAAAGUCUUGUUAAUUUUAAAGAAUUUAUUUAUUAUACCUUUUGUAUCAGGGUUUAUUCAAUUUUGACCACUAUUGUCAAAUCCCGAAAUAAGGUGAUCUAUGUUAAUUAAAGAUGAUUGUUUCAUAACUCUCUUUAAGAUUAACAUCGGUGUAAAAAAUAUUUCGUACCUAUAUAUCUGGUUGGCAGAAGACUCCUUUAGGGUACUCCGGAAGGAAAAUUUUCUAGGGGACGAGCUCUAGAAAAAAUUAUAUCAAAUUAUUACCAGCGAUAUGAAUAGGCUUAAAAGUUGCCAGGGUGUAAUAACCAGGCUCGUUUAAAUAAUAAUUUAAAGUUGAUUAAUUGAAUCUAGCCGAUGCUUAUCACUAACAUUGAGCAGUCAUAAUGAUAAAAUUAGUAUAUGUAUAAAAAUGUAAUAGAAUCUACUCCAAAAAUUUUGGAAGGAAUUCGGCAAAACUUGCCUCCGCCUGUUUAACAAAAACAUCGCCUCUUAAUUUUAGGAGGUCGGGCCUGCCCACUGAUUAAUUAAAGGGCCGUGGUAUACUGACCAUGCGAAGGUAGCAUAAUCAUUAGCCUUUUGAUUUGAGGCUGGAAUGAAUGGUCUGACGAGAGGCAACCUGUCUCCUUAAUUAACUUGAAUUUAAUCUUUAAGUGAAAAAGCUUAAAUAGCCUUGGAGGACGAUAAGACCCUAUAGAUCUUUACAUCCGGCUUUUUCAUCUAACGGUGGGUAAUCGGGUGGAAGAGGAGGAUGUUUGGUUGGGGCGACGUCGAGAGGAGAAUAAACACUCGAGAAUACAUACAUACAUCAAUAAAUGAUCAUUGAUCCUUAGAUGAAAAUAGAGUAAGUUACCUUAGGGAUAACAGCGUAAUUCUUUUUGAGAGCUCAAAUCGACAAAAGAGUUUGCGACCUCGAUGUUGGUUCAGGGACCCUAUUUGGUGCAGCAGCUUAAUCAGGUAGUCUGUUCGACUAUUAAACCCCUACGUGAUCUGAGUUCAGACCGGCGUAAGCCAGGUUAGUUUCUACCCCCAAGACAAAUUUAUCCAGGAUAGUACGAAAGGACCUCCUGGGAUUU
rnacentral:rRNA from 1 species